CCCGGGCGGGGAAGAGCUUCCUGGUGUCUCCCGGCUCCUGCCCUUCUCCCGCCCCAGGGGCGGGCUGCCGCCGCCCUCUGCAGCUGAGUCAGUGCAGUUCCUCACCUACCUUCUCUGCUCACCGCUGUGUGCUAGCAAUCGGAGGACCCUUGGCACACGGAGCGACAGGGGCCUCCCCCACAGACACCUCAUUUUGGGAAAGAAGUGAGCAAUUUAUUGAGUCUUAAAAAAUACAAAGGCAUAGUUCCCCUUAAUCUAUCAGGCUUCCAGCUCUAAAGAAUGUCUCUAGUAUUGCGGGGUGGGGCUGCGCUUAAAAACGCAGACGCUUUGGUUUUAGUACCAGCAACGUUAAAAAUCUUCUAUCUUGUAUGAGUGAAUGUGUAUCCCUUGUGAUCAGUUAUUUGCAUUUGCAGUUACACCUUCAUUCAGCUAAUUGCUGUCUUGAUUUGAAUCCAGGUUCUAGAAUGUACUAGCUCCGAAACCUCAGGCAAGUUAAAUGUUUUUGUGCUUCAUUUUCCUAAUCCACAAAGUGGCAAUAGAAGAAUUUAUCUCUUUAGGUUUUGUCUUGAGGAUUAAAACCGUUAAUACUUAGAGCUGUGCCUGGUAAAUGGCAAGCCUUUAUAUUAAGAUCUGGACCGUUCUGUGCUUUGAAGUGUAUGACCUAAAGCAGAUGUAGGCAUUCUAUAAGUAACACUAGCAUAAAGGUGUAUGGUAAAUUCUAGAGGUGAAAACACUCCCAACAUAUUUUAGGUCUGAUCAUUUAAUUUUGAGGUAAUUUCUGAAAGGGCUAGAGGAGAAAGUGACAUUUAAGUUGUGUUUGAUAAAUGAUAGUAUUUUAACUGGCCAGCCUCUUGGGGGAAGUGCAUUCGGAAUGGCUUGAUCAAAGGCUCAAGAAGCCCAAGGUGCAUUUGGAAAACUGUAAGCAAGGUUUGUGUAGAUGAGUUGUAGAAAUAUAUAUAGACAGGCUGAC
rnacentral:lncRNA from 1 species